ensembl:lncRNA
GUCAAAACAUUCCUUCACAUUUUUAAAAGAUUAAGCUAUACUUGCUACUAAAGACCGUAUCAGUCAUGGCACCAGUAUGAGCUUGAAGGGAUUUCCUCAGCUCAAUCUCAAGUGCUGUGCAAAAGUCUUAAGUCACCAUUCAUUUCUUUAUAUUUUUUUCUAAAAUGGUGUUGAACAAGUUUUGCUUUGGACAUUGGCUGGUUUUUCGCUCCUUUUCAAUCCAGUCCUUGUACCCGAACAUUUUCACAGGAAUGUUUUUUGUUUAUUAGGCCACUCAUAAAAACAGCACCUCGAUCAAGGUAUGGACCAGUGUAGUUGAUGUCAUGGUCCCUGUGUCUGCCCAGCCGGCCCCGCAAAGCUACAUGUGUUUUCCUCUCUGCCUGGGCGGAGCUCACUGGCCCACACACCUGUUCGCGAUUAGCUGUCAUUACCUGUCCACUAUUUGAGGCUGGGAAGCAGAUCCUCUCAUCGCUGGAUGAUUGUGCGAAACACUUUUCCUUCCCGGACCUGUGACCUUCCUGCUGUGUGAACGUGUGUGAGUUUGGGCGUGAAGACGAGAACGAGUGUGAGAGAGCUUCCCCUUGGACCUUUUGAUCCCUGGAUUUCCCCCCUCACUGUAUACAUUCUGCACUGGUGUUGUAAAUAAACUGUGUUUGGAAACGUCAACCUGCUCUGCGCUUGAGUCCCUGCUAUCGACCGUGACAG